rnacentral:rRNA from 1 species
GCCUAAUACAUGCAAGUCGAACGAGACCUUCGGGUCUAGUGGCGCACGGGUGCGUAACGCGUGGGAAUCUGCCCUUGGGUUCGGAAUAACGUCGGGAAACUGACGCUAAUACCGGAUGAUGACGUAAGUCCAAAGAUUUAUCGCCCAGGGAUGAGCCCGCGUAGGAUUAGCUAGUUGGUGAGGUAAAGGCUCACCAAGGCGACGAUCCUUAGCUGGUCUGAGAGGAUGAUCAGCCACACUGGGACUGAGACACGGCCCAGACUCCUACGGGAGGCAGCAGUAGGGAAUAUUGGACAAUGGGCGAAAGCCUGAUCCAGCAAUGCCGCGUGAGUGAUGAAGGCCUUAGGGUUGUAAAGCUCUUUUACCCGGGAUGAUAAUGACAGUACCGGGAGAAUAAGCCCCGGCUAACUCCG